CUCACUGCUAUAACCGUAUUGUC
rnacentral:siRNA from 1 species